UACGUAGGGGGCUAGCGUUGUCCGGAUUUAUUGGGCGUAAAGAGCGUGUAGGCGGCCAGGUAGGUCUGGUGUGAAAACUCGAGGCUUAACCUUGAGAUGUCAUCGGAAACCAUUUGGCUAGAGUCCGGAAGAGGAAAGUGGAAUUCCUGGUGUAGCGGUGAAAUGCGCAGAUAUCAGGAAGAACACCAAUGGCGAAAGCGACUUCCUGGACCAAUACUGACGCUCAUGUGCGAAAGCGUGGGGAGCAAACAGG
rnacentral:rRNA from 1 species